GACUUUGCGGGGAGAAUGUUAGUGUCUGCUGUGGAGGAGUGAAGGGCUGGGAGGCUCAGCUGGGAUCAGGACUUACGACCCUGAGCUCAUGAUCAGCUUAGGCAACAGAGAUUUGGCUUUGCCAACCAUCUGCUUUGUCUGAAGAUUUUCAGCCGAUGAAGCUCUAGGAAGUUCAAACACCAUUGUGUCCUGCUCCCGGACUGGUGACUUGGAGAGAGCUCUAACAGGGCAGGAUGGCCCAGGAUCUCAGUGAGAAGGAGCUGCUGAGGAUGGAGGUGGAGCAGUUGAAGAAGGAAGUAAAGAACCCACGUGAUCCGAUUUCCAAGACAGGAAAGGAAAUCAAGGAUUAUGUAGAGGCCCAAUCAGGGACCGACCCUCUUCUGAAAGGCAUCCCAGAAGACAAGAAUCCCUUCAAGGAGAAAGGCACUUGUGUGAUAAGCUGAUGGCCUACCCUCAAGACCCUCACCCUUUCUCUGUCCCUCCUCAGUCUCACCAGUGUAC
rnacentral:lncRNA from 1 species